CCAGGUCUUUGAAGGGAAGGAGGUGAUUGAUCCCUUCAUAGAUAAACUGGUAGGUUGAUCAUAGGUUAAUUUUCCUUCCUGAAGUGAGAGGAAGAGGUAAGAGGGGAAGGUGUAAACUGCAGGGGCAAAGGAGGAAAGAAGAGGUGGUGGCAACACAAUUUUGGAAAUAAAGUGGGCUGUGCUCAUUCGCUUAACAAAUGUGAGGAGACAGGAACUCAAGCUGAAAGGAAGCAAGAGGAGAAACAAAUGGAUUCCCCUUUUGGAAAGGGUUGGGAACCCAAGGUACCAGGUUUUGCAAGUGAGGACUGUGGACACUUCAGCCUGGGGGAGGGAUAUUGCCACACCUGAACAGAUCAUCCUCUUGGAGCUGAGAUUGCCAGUUCUCAUUCCCAUCUACCCCUGAUAGGUCUGCAGCUUGAAGCAUCUCCUUAAACUCUGUCAGAGUCCUCAUCAGUAGAAUGGGCACAACCCCUAAGUCCUAGAGAUAGGAGUCCCGAUGAGAGGAAUCCUGAAAUCAGACACAAAAACCUAAGUAGCAUGGAGCUCUAGAUAAGGGAGAGGGGAAACUGAGCCCCCUUCCAGCUCUGAAGGCUUCUCGUUCAGUAACCUUCUCCCUGAGUGUGAUUGACUGUACCUUGGCAGGGUACAGUCAGGGUACCUAGCAAUGUGGUGGUGGCUUAUUUCGCUGCCAUUAAGAGUGUUCAUUCAACACCUAUUCCAUGGUGCCUUGGAGGGAGCAACUGAUGUUAACAAAUGAAUUAUUCUCAGGCCCUGUUGUCAAAGAACUCACUGUCUAACUGUGUAAAGAGGGAGGCCAAUUAAGGGAAAUCAAGUAAAUAGCAAGGCUUUAUUUUAUUUAUUUAUUUAUUUAUGGUACUGGGGAUUGAACCCAAG
rnacentral:lncRNA from 1 species